rnacentral:lncRNA from 1 species
AAGAUGAUAUGAAGAAAGCAAAUCUACCUUCUUGGCUUGAAAACCAGCUUAGAGUCUCCUUUUGCCAUAAUUUGUAGCU